GCAACGGUGAUUCAGUGGUUGAUGCUCACCUGCCAUGCGGAGACCCGGGUUAGAUUCCCGGCCGAAGUACA